GAUGAACGCUAGCUACAGGCUUAACACAUGCAAGUCGAGGGGUAGCAGGGUAGCAAUACCGCUGACGACCGGCGCACGGGUGAGUAACACGUAUCCAACCUUCCCAUAACUCUGGGAUAGCCUUUCGAAAGAAAGAUUAAUACCGGAUAGUACUUUUUCAAGGCAUCUUGAGAAAGUUAAAGAUUUAUUGGUUAUGGAUGGGGAUGCGUUCCAUUAGAUAGUUGGUGAGGUAACGGCUCACCAAGUCUUCGAUGGAUAGGGGUUCUGAGAGGAAGGUCCCCCACAUUGGUACUGAGACACGGACCAAACUCCUACGGGAGGCAGCAGUGAGGAAUAUUGGUCAAUGGGCGAGAGCCUGAACCAGCCAAGUAGCGUGAAGGAUGAAGGUCCUAUGGAUUGUAAACUUCUUUUAUAGUAGAAUAAAGUGACCCACGUGUGGGUUUUUGUAUGUAUACUAUGAAUAAGGAUCGGCUAACUCCGUGCCAGCAGCCGCGGUAAAACGUGCGUG
rnacentral:rRNA from 1 species